rnacentral:rRNA from 1 species
AUUGAACGCUGGCGGCAGGCCUAACACAUGCAAGUCGAGCGAGCGGCGGACGGGUUAUUACUGUCUGGGAAACUGCCUGAUGGAGGGGGAUAACUACUGGAAACGGUAGCUAAUACCCCAUACCAUCAGCUGUGCCCCUAUGGGUUUAGCUAGUAGGUGGGGUAAUGGCUCACCUAGGCGACGAUCCCUAGCUGGUCUGAGAGGAUGACCAGACACACUUGAACGUGGAAACGGUCCAGACUCCUACGGGAGGCAGCAGUGGGGAAUAUUGCACAAUGGGCGCAAGCCUGAUGCAGCCAUGCCGCGUGUGUGAAGAAGGCCUUCGGGUUGUAAAGCACUUUCAGCGGGGAGGCGUUACCCGCAGAAGAAGCACCGGCUAACUCCGUGCCAGCAGCCGCGGUAAUUC